rnacentral:rRNA from 1 species
CUCAAAGAUUAAGCCAUGCAAGUGGUUACAUUUUAACCCGACAGUUUAAAUAAGUGUUAAUAGAGAUUAUAUACACGUAUCAAUAAUCGAGUGCUUGCGCUUGUGCCUUGGUAUAAUAUUUUCUCACGUGUUGAUCAUUUUUGAGUUCAAUUACUCACCGCGUGUAUAUCUUUCUUCACACACAUGCCUAAUUACGCGCAACGAGUGUUGUCUCGAAAAAACUACCCACACUAAGUGAUUCAUUUCACUUACGCAACUGCAGACAGCUGCUUAAUACAGUCACACUUGUCUUGACUUGGCAAUUCAUAUGCGUAUGCACGGUUCUCUUUGAUUAUCUCUUUACACACAUGCCUAAUAUCAUUGUGGAACCAUCACGUGUGUACAAUUAUGGAGUAGACGCUUAUGUGUCACAUACAAUACACCCAUAUGCUUUCAUCUACACUAUUCAUAUCACAUGGAUAACUCAGGGAAAGUUUGGCUAAUACGUACGAGUCCAUACUCACUUUUUUUUCACUUGUGAUUGACACACGUACUGCAACUAUUUGUGCGAGUAUUGAAAGAGUGUGUAAACGCAUUUAUGGCAAUCACGUGCUGACGUACAUACAUGGUUCGCGUUCUACCAUUCUGACAUCAGUGUGCUUAUGACCGUGGUUGUUGUCGUCAUACUAUUGUGCUUUGAAGAAGAAAAGAGUGCAACGCGUGCAUCGUGAGUCUUUAUCUUUACACACAUGCCUAAGAGAUUUCACACUCGCGCGCACCGCAUUCAAUUUUUUUUGAUUUGUGCAUGAACACAUUUGAGAGAAAUCACCACACGCAUUAGGUUGUUGUUGUUGUGAUCUACUCAGCACUCAAUGGUUUGAUUCCCUUUGUGUGUUUUCACACUUAUGAGGGUUUCGUUACUUAUGCAACAUGAGAGACAUUGAGCACGCAUUGAUUCUUUUACAUUCGUGUGAGGGAUCUAUACGCUGAGCAGACUUUGCGAAGUUUACUUUGCGAAGCAUGUCAUACAAGCAUCUACAGCAUCAAGUCACAGGGUUGGCAAGUGUAUUUUUGAACCUUCAAAGCAGUCACGCAUACGGAAGAGUAGUUUCUGAUCCCAUAGAAGGAGCACCGUACAAUGAGAGACCGCUCUUAGUUCUAAGGAACGCAGCAGGCGCGUAAAUUGCCCAAUGCUAGUACCCUACAUUCUUCACCGAGUGAUACUAUUACGCAUAAGCAAAUUUACCAAAUCAACACACACAUUAACACACACCUUUUUUCUGUCACGCAUAGUUUUUUCAUGCAGUACAUCCUUGUUCGUUGUAUUAGGUAAUAUUAUAGUGCACUUCCGUGUAUUUAUUUUUUACUGAGGCAGUGACAAGCUGUAACGGUUGAGUAUAAAAAUGACAAGUGUCUGGCAUUGCCGCUCAUUUCGGUGAGCUUGGCAAGUUGCCGACGCUUUGUGUGCUCAAUUGGAAUGCGGUGAGUUUAAGCAACUCAGAACCUUUGGACGGUGUUAGCUUUACGCUUUCACUUUUCAUGUAUCUGAAUUUCAAGUGGAGGGCAAGUCUGGUGCCAGCAGCCGCGGUAAUACCAGCUCCACAGGCCUAUACAAUCAUUGUUGCGGUUAAGAGGCUCGUAGUUGGAUUGAACUAAUCAUUUGUUGAAUAACUUAACUAUACAUUGGCGAUACCCAAUACUCUUUCACGUAUCUCUUCACACACAUGCCUACGCGUGAAUAACCUGAGGGUAAAUGUGUUUUGUUACUUUAGCAUUUGUGACGUUGCGUGUGAGGAGCUUCCGGGCUCUGAAUCACGUACUCGACACUGUUUAGGUUACUGUGAUACUUAAAUAUACACAUGCGUUAACUGUAUCGCCCGCCUUGAUACGACUUACGCGUAUAUUUUGUUGAUCGGUACGCUCACAGUUUUACGAUCACGCUCGCUUACAUUUAUUCAUCACUUUCAACACUGUGAACAAAUCAGAGUGUAUCAAACAUGUCGUUUUUUGAAUGUGCAUUGAAUGUCUUAUCAUGGGAUGUUGCCUUUGCACUGUUUUCUCAAAGAGUACGUUGUGUUGUGUACGUUGAUUACACGCGUGUAAUAUCUCUCUUUUUUACACACAUGCCUAAUUUAUGCGCGCGUAACACACACACACGUAUAAACGAUGUGAGUCUUCAAAACAGUUUAAANGUCGAUGGGGAUAGUUGGAGUCAACAGUACUGUCGGGCGAGCGGUGAAAUGCAUUGACCCUGGCAAGACUACCAAAAGCGAAAGCAGUUGGCUAGGCUAUACUCUUUGUGAUUUGAUUCACAUAACGCCUUUACCAGUGUUUUGCGGUUAUCGACAAGCACCAUGCGUGGGUUUAAGGGUGAUGCCUUAUUCUUUGCAAUUGGACCGCGUAAGAUAGCACUUUCUUCGCCGAAUUAAGCGAUUCACUGUGCAUUAGCAUUGAGACACUCACAUACAUACACACACGCCUUAUGUCUCACGGGCAACUGAUGCAUUGCGCGUAGUGAUCAUCUAACACAUUACAAUGAAGAACGAAGGUUGGGGGAUCAAAGAGGAUCAGAUACCCUCGUCGUCCCAUUAAUUACAUCAAACGAUGGGCUCUCAAUUGCAUUUUAACUCGUUAAUUUGCGAUUAAACCUCCUCAACCUGCAAAAUGACUUGGCUUGAGCUUGUACUUGAUUCGUCUCGUACGCUCGCCUAACUAUUUUCGCAAUUGGUCUCGAUGGACGUUUUAACGAUUUUAUUAACAAAUCUUUUGCGUGUAAGCUUUUAACACUGAUAUGUCUUCUUUCGAGGAGUAUUUGAUGUGUGCGUGCACUUGAUUUUCGGAGCUUUGCGCUCAAAAAAUUCUGGUGAGAUGUAAGCACUAUGUCAUAUUGCACCGCAGCAUACAUCUUCGGAUCGUUUUGCUUGUCGUGUUGCAGUUAGACAACUUUGGUGUGAAGCUCGCUUUAGGCACGCGCUUACUGCAGAAAUGUCUGAGACAUUCCUCUCCGGGGGAAGUAUGCACGCAAGUGUGAAACUUGAAGGAAUUGACGGAAGGGCACCACAAGAACGCGUGGAGCAUGUGGCUUAAUUUGACUCAACGCGGGAAAUCUUACCGGGUCCGGACACACUGAGGAUUGACAGGUAUUAUAUAGCGCGCUUGCGCGUCUAUUGUUAAAUAUGCUAGUCCUUUCAUGAUUAUGUGAUAGGUGGUGCAUGGCCGUUCUUAGUUCGUGGAGUGAUCUGUCUGCUUAAUUGCGUUUCAGAUAAGGAUCUAUAUUCUUUACAGAAGUGUUGCGUUGUGCGCAUUUGACCCCUCGUUCGCGAGUGCGUGUCUUUUCGGUGCNCGCACGCUUUUUACAUUAGGUCCUGAAAGCAACGAACGUGACCGCAACCUCUUGUUGCCUCAUCUCCCUACUUUUUUAGCACUUCGGUGUUGAAUAAUUUCAUUGAGGCUUUCCAAAACUAGAGGGACCGCUGUCAACUUCUUAAACCAGAGGAAGGUUGCGGCAAUAACAGGUCUGUGAUGCCCUUAGAUGUUCCGGGCUGCACACGUGCUACAAUGAUUGUUGCAGUGAGCAUCUCAAUUUUUUACCUAACACCGCACACGUGAGUGCAUACUUGUAUGUUACUUUACGCAGCGGUAAAGCCUGCUUCGAGAGCAAGUGGGUAAUCAAUUAGAAGUAACGAUUUCCCAAAUUAGCACACUUAUAUGCGGCGUUUGCGCCCGGGUACCACUUGUUGGUACUUCUGUGCGUGCAGAUGUUUUUUUCCGCAUGUGCAAUUGUCAAUUCAUGGUGGGGACAGACCAUUGUUAAUUGUUGGUCUCGGUCUUAACUAGGAAUGCCUUGUACGGGUCUUUGGUUCAACAAACCACCCGGAAUACGUCCCUGCCCUUUGUACACACCGCCCGUCGCUCUUACCGAUGGACUUCUCUGUGAGUUUGAGGGACUGGAUUUGAUCGCAUUCGUGCGCAUUAAUAUCUAUGGAAACUUAAACGAACAGUGUGGUCUAAAGGAAAGAGAAGUCGUAACAAGGCAUCGGUAGGUGAACCU